UAUUUAAGGUUCUCUUUAUUGCUUCUGUCUCUUGCUUCUCUCAGGGAAUCACAGAGGAAAAGGCAGUAAGAAAGCAUGAAUUUUGCAGGGUGCCUCUUUGGAAAUGUGUUGGCAAUAUUUUGAUACACUUGCAAAAUAAGUUAUAGUGAAGUUUUGUCCAUUCAUUUCUCUUGGACAAAUAUCUUGGAAAUCUAAAGCAUGUUUCAGAUUCAGCAAAUGUGAUGGGUCAGAUUUGGGUCUGCUUUUUAGUGCAGAUCUACUUGUUUUCUUUGUACAGAAGAGGGACUUCAGGCAACAGCCGUGACUUCAGAGAAAUUAGGGCAAAUAUUUCAGGGGAGGUUCCUACUUGGUACCUGACCUAGAAAACAUCCUUUUAAGUAGAAGCAUUAAAUCAGAAAAGGAAAUUUUGUGGUCUGAGCUGUACCACAGGCUGCUGCCUAUAGCUGAGCACAGAGUCUGACUCCCUGCCUGUAAACCUUCUCUGUGCUUUAGGUUACUAUUGGAAAUGUCCCUGGAAGAGGAGAUGAUGGGUGUCCUGUGCUGCCAUGAAGUUUCUGUAUACUGGAAUGAGUUUCCUUUAAUAUGAUUACUUAUUUGAGGUGUGAAGGACACCAAUAACUCUCACCAAUUUGAUGGGAGUUGUAAGCACUCAGUCCAUAAAAUAUGGAGAAUGCUGUGUAGAGAUAUCAGUGGAGUUAUAUAUAGAGAUGGAGUCUGGCAGCAGGGAGGAAGUAUUUCCCAAGGAGUCUGUUGCUGCUGUGUGUUAGGGCUACAUAAAGUAAGAUUUCUGUUUCAGUCUUCAGCUGGGAAGACAGUUGGAGGAGGCUGGAUGCCAAAUGGUGAGACUGCAUGGAUCUCCAAGUGAGUGUCAGUCUGUGGCUUUUACUUAGUGCCUCAUGUAGUGCCUAUAUAUUUGCAAAGACUUCUGAAUUGAAGAAAGCUGUGUGUAAGAGACUGAAAUUGUUAAUGGCUUAAUCCUUUUAAAAUCAUUGAAGGACUUUUUGAUCACCAUAGCAAACUGCAAAUACACAGCUGAAUAUCUGGGAGCACUCAAGGCCACCCCUCCCCAAAUAUGCCCAAUACCUGGAAUUUGGAUUGUGACAGGAACCUGAGAUAAGAUGAAGGGGUAUUAUUGUCCAAUCAUCACUGGUCUAGGGAGGAGAAUGGAUCCACAAGUGAGACAGGAAGAGAGACUGGAAUGCUGAUGGUUCAAAUAUUCAGGAGAAGCUGCUGAUGUGCAGAGGCACAGAGGGUGAGCACAGCUCUCCUCAGGCUCCAGCUGGUGUUGAAUGAGGUAAGGAAAGAGACAAACCCUGUGUGGUGGGGAAUUAAUCUGUCCUUACUCCAGUGACUCAGCUGUGUUACUGCCCUGCCAGGGAAGCACCAGAGCCCUCCCAGGCAGCCUGGAGGUGUCUGUCCCUGCUGAUGGGCCCCCAUGGCCACAAUGGACUCAGCUGCACUGGUGUCACAGGCAGCUGGAUCUCCUUGGAAGGUGUCAAAGACUCCCCAAAUGUCCUGAGGUCCACAACAUUACAUCACCCAGGGGAAACUCCCUCCUCCAGGGGAGCUAUCUGGGCAUUCUUAUUUGAGCCUGAGUGCAUUUAAACCAGAGUUUAUAUUCUGGGGGUUCCCUCACGACCUGAUGGAUCCAGUCUGUGACUGUCACUUUGACUGAGAGUGUGACCAUCACUUUGACCAGCAAACAUUGAAAUGGCAGCAGCUGAGCCUCUUCACAAGGCAUGUGGGUGGUGAGAUUCUUCCUCUCUUAUAAUUUCCUUCUAUUUCUUAUACAUUUUCUGCUGUGAUGUUUUUAUGCUUCUUUAUUGUCAUAUUACUGUAGAUAGCAGCUAACAAAAUGCCCCCUUACCUGUUUUCCUGUGCAACCAAACUGUUCUACAAUAAACCCUACAUAGGUAUAAUUACAAA